AGUGAACGCUGGCGGCAGGCCUAAUACAUGCAAGUCGAACGGCAGCACAGCAGAGCUUGCUCUGUGGGUGGCGAGUGGCGGACGGGUGAGGAAUACAUGGGAAUCUGCCCAGUCGUGGGGGACAACGUAGGGAAACUUACGCUAAUACCGCAUGCGCCCUUCGGGGGAAAGCCGGGGACCUUCGGGCCUGGCGCGAUUGGAUGAGCCCAUGUCGGAUUAGCUAGUUGGCGGGGUAAUGGCCCACCAAGGCGACGAUCCGUAGCUGGUCUGAGAGGAUGAUCAGCCACACUGGAACUGAGACACGGUCCAGACUCCUACGGGAGGCAGCAGUAGGGAAUAUUGGGACAAUGGGCGCAAGCCUGAUCCAGCCAUGCCGCGUGAGUGAAGAAGGCCCUCGGGUUGUAAAGCUCUUUGUCCGGAAAGAAAAGCGCCGGUUAAUACCCUAGUGUCCUGACGGUACCGGAAGAAUAAGCACCGGCUAACUUCGUGCCAGCAGCCGCGGU
rnacentral:rRNA from 1 species